rnacentral:rRNA from 1 species
UACGGGGGGGGCAAGCGUUGUUCGGAAUUACUGGGCGUAAAGGGCUCGUAGGCGGCCAACUAAGUCGGACGUGAAAUCCCCAGGCUCAACCUGGGAACUGCGUCCGAUACUGGAUGGCUUGAAUUCGGGAGAGGGAUGCAGAAUUCCAGGUGUAGCGGUGAAAUGCGUAGAUAUCUGGAGGAACACCGGUGGCGAAGGCGGCAUCCUGGACCGGUAUUGACGCUGAGGCGUGAAAGCUAGGGGAGCAAACGGG